rnacentral:rRNA from 1 species
UAGGGAAUCUUCGGCAAUGGACGAAAGUCUGACCGAGCAACGCCGCGUGAGUGAAGAAGGUUUUCGGAUCGUAAAACUCUGUUGUUAGAGAAGAACAAGGACGUUAGUAACUGAACGUCCCCUGACGGUAUCUAACCAGAAAGCCACGGCUAACUACGUGCCAGCAGCCGCGGUAAUACGUAGGUGGCAAGCGUUGUCCGGAUUUAUUGGGCGUAAAGCGAGCGCAGGCGGUUUCUUAAGUCUGAUGUGAAAGCCCCCGGCUCAACCGGGGAGGGUCAUUGGAAACUGGGAGACUUGGGUGCAGAAGAGGAGAGGGGAAUUCCAUGUGUAGCGGUGAAAUGAGUAGAUAUAAGGAGGAACACCAGUGGGGAAGGCGGCUCUCUGGUCUGUAACUGACGCUGAGGCUCGAAAGCGGGGGGAGCAAACAGG